rnacentral:rRNA from 1 species
AUUGAACGCUGGCGGCAUGCCUUACACAUGCAAGUCGAACGGCAGCACGGGUGCUUGCACCUGGUGGCGAGUGGCGAACGGGUGAGUAAUGCAUCGGAACGUACCCGGAAGUGGGGGAUAACGUAGCGAAAGUUACGCUAAUACCGCAUAUUCUGUGAGCAGGAAAGCGGGGGAUCUUCGGACCUCGUGCUUUCGGAGCGGCCGAUGUCGGAUUAGCUAGUUGGUGAGGUAAAGGCUCACCAAGGCGACGAUCCGUAGCGGGUCUGAGAGGAUGAACCGCCACACUGGGACUGAGAGAGGGCCCAGACUCCUACGGGAGGCAGCAGUGGGGAAUUUUGGACAAUGGGGGCAACCCUGAUACAGCCAUGCCGCGUGAGUGAAGAAGGCCUUCGGGUUGUAAAGCUCUUUUGUCAGGGAAGAAAUGGUCUGGGUUAAUACCCUGGGCAGAUGACGGUACCUGAAGAAUAAGCACCGGCUAACUACGUGCCAGCCGCCGCAGUAA